rnacentral:rRNA from 1 species
CCUACGGGGUGCAGCAGUGAGGGAUAUUGGUCAAUGGGGGAAACCCUGAACCAGCAACGCCGCGUGAGGGAAGACGGUUUUCGGAUUGUAAACCUCUGUCCUCUGUGAAGAUGAUGACGGUAGCAGAGGAGGAAGCUUCGGCUAACUACGUGCCAGCAGCCGCGGUAAUACGUAGGGAGCAAGCGUUGUCCGGAUUUACUGGGUGUAAAGGGUGCGUAGGUGGUUUCUUAAGUCAGAGGUGAAAGGCUACGGCUCAACCGUAGUAAGCCUUUGAAACUGGGGAACUUGAGUGCAGGAGAGGAGAGUGGAAUUCCUAGUGUAGCGGUGAAAUGCGUAGAUAUUAGGAGGAACACCAGUUGCGAAGGCGGCUCUCUGGACUGUAACUGACACUGAGGCACGAAAGCGUGGGGAGCAAACAGGAUUAGAUACCCCAGUAGUC